AAUAUGUAAUGAGAACCGGCUGAGUCUUCCUGCAGCUUUCUACACCACGCUAGAAGGGCUUGAAACAAGGUAAC